GAACUGUUUUGCGUGUCGAUUAUUUUAUUCUUUGGCCGCAUCUUUUAUGGAACGAACAAGGGAGAUUCCCUCACAGAUUCGAAUUGGAAGAGGAAGAAGGCCGAUUCUGGUGAUAGUUAUCAAUAAUGUCAUGUAGAAACAUGCUGCGGAAAACAGGUGAACGGGCUGCGAGGACAGCUCGGUGUGCUCCGAUGCUUCCACCAGAGGCAUUGAUCGUUACGUCUGUGUAGAUGCUUUCUGUCAACAUACGUCCAAGGGAUGUAACCGCUGUAACUUCUGAUUGGUUCUGCGUUGAACCGUCUGCCCAAAUCGAGUAGAACUCUCCACUCUGCCAAGUCAUCAGAACUUUGAGGUCAAGAAACUCGACGUCGAUGAUGAUUUUUCCAGUUAAGGGAACUUCAAUGGUCCAGAGGAAAUCUUCAAACAAAGCAAGAUGUUCUUGUCUCUUACCUGGAUGAGAAAAAGCUUUCCUCUCACCAGAAGAAGAGACAACACGAAGAACAAAGGAAGCAACAGACAAAUGCCUUCAAAUCAAUAAUAACCCACCAUUAGUGUCAAAAUCAAUUUGAUUAUUAUCAUCAACUACUACAAAAAGGUGAAAUGAAAAGAAAGGAGAGAGAGAGUACCAGUUCCAAAGACCCAUCUUGAAAGGAUCGGACUUGCGGUAAGUGGAGGAAGAGAGGUUGAGGAUACGCCAUUGGGCGAGCCUGGAGGUGGUGUCUACUCUGUAAGCUGAAUCAGUCAUCCUAGAGAAAGCCAGAGCUGCAGAGAUUUCAUGGAUGCAAUCCAACAAACCCUCCAGCAGAUUCUCCCCUGACUUUCCCAGGUUUGCUCUGUUUUUCUUCUUCUCCUCUUCUUCUUCUUACCAUAUAAAAUAGUAAUAUGUAUAAGCAGGUGCAGAGAGAAUCAAGGAGAGAAGGGGGUUCAGGGAGAUGAAUUGUUUAAUGGAUUGGAGGAAUCAUUAGCGUUUCUUGGAUUGGUAAUUCUUCUGGGGAAGCAAAGUCUGUGCUUUGCUUUUACGUCAUUUGAAAGAGAGAGACAUGGGGAAAGAGUAAAGUGUGUUUGGUUCUUUGUGUUCCUUACACUUGGCUUUAUUUCUCACACUGGCCCCAGUCUUAUGGGGCGUGUGUCUCUUUUAUUGGACUGUCUUUAAGUCCUCUCUUCCAACUAAUUUUUAGACUUUAGGUUUAUUGACAAUUCAAGAUUUAUUGGCUUGGAUAUGGUUUAUGGUUUAUGUUUUAUCCUUUAAGGAUUAUAAAUUGAUCUCAUGUUAUGCAUAGUAAUUUUUUUUGUGUAGAAUAAUGGCCUGAUA